rnacentral:rRNA from 1 species
AGCGAACGCUGGCGGCAGGCUUUACACAUGCCAGUCGUGCGGGCAUCCUUCUGGUGUCAGCCGCCGCCGGGUGAGUCACGCGUGGGACCGUGCUCUUCGUUUCUGCAUAUCCCAGGGCAACUUUACCUAAUACCCUAUACGUUCGAGACCAGAUUCGUUUAUCGGCCGUAGGAUCGGCCCGCGUCUCAUUUGUUAGUUGGUGUGGUUAUCGAUCACCAAGGCGACGAUCAUUAGCUGGUCUGAGAGGAAGAUCAGCCACACUGGGGCUGGGACACGGCCCAGAAGCCUACGGGAGGCAGCAGUGGGGAAUAUUGGACAAUGGGGGGAAGAGAGAAAGAGCCAUGAGGCGAGAGUGAAGAAGGGCUUAGGGUUGGAAAGCGCUUUGAGCAGGGACGAAAAUGACGGGACCGGAGGAAUAAGGGGCGGGGAACAGCGUG